UGACAGCCGCCGCGGUAAUACUGAGGGUUCACGCGUUACUCGGAAUCACUGGGCGUAAAGAGCGUGUAGGCGGGUUAAUAAGUCAGAUGUGAAAGCCAAUAGCUCAACUAUUGAACUGCAUUUGAAACUGUAAACCUAGAAUAUGGGAGAGGUAGAUGGAAUUUCUGGUGUAGGGGUAAAAUCCGUAGAGAUCAGAAGGAAUACCGAUUGCGAAGGCGAUCUACUGGAACAUUAUGGACGCGGAGACGAGAACGCGUGGGGAGCACACAGGAUUAGAUA
rnacentral:rRNA from 1 species